CCGUUCGUUCUCUCUACUUCAAGGAUGACCCCCAGAACGCCGAAGGGAGAUUUCCAAGCCGCAGGAGGUGGUAAGCCCCAUCGUCGAUUUCAUUUCACGUGUUUGUGAUUGGAUAAGUUUGCGUUUUGUUUUAUAGCUCUGGGCUUCUUCUAAUUCUAAGUUCUAUGUCGCUUUUAUCCUUUUUUUUCCUUUUAAAAUUAUAGACAUUAUUCAGUCAAUGGUAAAUAAUUAUGAAAAAAGCAUUUCUUUUUGCUGCUCCACUGCGUCAUAAUUUGAAAUAUCAGCUGCUAUCAUAUCACUGGCUGUCAUAAUAGUCUCACAGACCUCCACU
rnacentral:lncRNA from 1 species